rnacentral:misc_RNA from 1 species
CAAUCACAUUCCAUUCCAUAUCCUUUCUUUAGCAAAACCUCUGGUGCAAUGUAGUCAGGUGUUCCAACAGUAGAAUAAGCAAGCAUCCUCCGAUUCCUCUGCCAAUGCUGCAAUUGCUCCUGUUGUGUGCGCUUUGGUGCUGCAGGGCGUCCAUCACUCUGAAGAGCUCCACUAAGGUGACUUCCAAGUGAAAAAUCCUUCUCUUGGAGAUUACUGCAAUCUAAUGGUUUACACAAUCCAAAAUCUGAUAACUUCAUGUGACCAUGUCUAUCAAGUAGCAAGUUAUCAGGUUUGAUAUCUCUAUGAAUAUAAUUAUGUUUAUGGAUAGACUCAAUAGCCAGGACAGUUUCUCCGACAUAAAACCUUGCCUCAUCCUCACUUAGUGUAUCCUUGCGCAUUAGCAAAGUCAUCAUAUCUCCACCAGGUAGAUA